rnacentral:rRNA from 1 species
GACGAACGCUGGCGGCGUGCUUAACACAUGCAAGUCGAACGGAAAGGCCCUGCUUUUGUGGGGUGCUCGAGUGGCGAACGGGUGAGUAACACGUGAGUAACCUGCCCUUGACUUUGGGAUAACUUCAGGAAACUGGGGCUAAUACCGUAUAGGAUCUCCUGCUGCAUGGUGGGGGUUGGAAAGUUUCGGCGGUUGGGGAUGGACUCGCGGCUUAUCAGCUUGUUGGUGGGGUAGUGGCUUACCAAGGCUUUGACGGGUAGCCGGCCUGAGAGGGUGACCGGCCACAUUGGGACUGAGAUACGGCCCAGACUCCUACGGGAGGCAGCAGUGGGGAAUAUUGCACAAUGGGCGGAAGCCUGAUGCAGAAACGCCGCGUGCGGGAUGACGGCCUUCGGGUUGUAAACCGCUUUCGCCUGUGACGAAGCGUGAGUGACGGUAAUGGGUAAAGAAGCACCGGCUAACUACGUG